rnacentral:rRNA from 1 species
ACUCGGACGGGGUCAGUAACGCGUGAGAAUCUGCCCUUAGGAGUGGGAUAACGGUUGGAAACGACCGCUAAUACCGCAUAUGCCGAGAGGUGAAAUGUAAUUCGCCUGAGGAUGAGCUCGCGUCGGAUUAGCUAGUUGGUGGGGUAAGAGCCCACCAAGGCGACGAUCCGUAGCUGGUCUGAGAGGAUGAUCAGCCACACUGGGACUGAGACACGGCCCAGACUCCUACGGGAGGCAGCAGUGGGGAAUUUUCCGCAAUGGGCGCAAGCCUGACGGAGCAAGACCGCGUGAGGGAAGAAGGUCUGUGGAUUGUAAACCUCUUUUGAUGGGGAAGAAGUACUGACGGUACCCAUCGAAUCAGCCUCGGCUAACUCCGUGCCAGCAGCCGCGGUAAUACGGAGGAGGCAAGCGUUAUCCGGAAUUAUUGGGCGUAAAGCGUCCGUAGGUGGUUGGUCAAGUCUUCGGUCAAAGCGCGGAGCUUAACUCCGUAAAGGCCGAGGAAACUGGUUAGCUAGAGUGCGAUAGGGGCAAGGGGAAUUCCCAGUGUAGCGGUGAAAUGCGUAGAUAUUGGGAAGAACACCGGUGGCGAAAGCGCCUUGCUGGGUCUGCACUGACACCGAGGACCGAAAGCUGAC